AGUGAACGCUGGCGGUAGGCCUAACACAUGCAAGUCGAACGGCAGCACAGUAAGAGCUUGCUCUUACGGGUGGCGAGUGGCGGACGGGUGAGGAAUACAUCGGAAUCUACUUUUUCGUGGGGGAUAACGUAGGGAAACUUACGCUAAUACCGCAUACGACCUACGGGUGAAAGCAGGGGAUCUUCGGACCUUGCGCGAUUGAAUGAGCCGAUGUCGGAUUAGCUAGUUGGCGGGGUAAAGGCCCACCAAGGCGACGAUCCGUAGCUGGUCUGAGAGGAUGAUCAGUCACACUGGAACUGAGACACGGUCCAGACUCCUACGGGAGGCAGCAGUGGGGAAUAUUGGACAAUGGGCGCAAGCCUGAUCCAGCCAUACCGCGUGGGUGAAGAAGGCCUUCGGGUUGUAAAGCCCUUUUGUUUGGGAGGAAAAGCAGCAGGUUAAUACCCCGCUGUUCUGACGGUACCCAAAGAAUAAGCACCGGCUAACUUCGUG
rnacentral:rRNA from 1 species